GUAAAGCGGCGCACGGGUGAGUAACACGUAGGUAACCUACCUUACAGUGGGGGAUAACUAGUCGAAAGAUUAGCUAAUCCCGCAUACGUCCUUCAUGUACUUCAUGAAGGAGAAAGAUGACCUCUUCUUGAAAGUUAUCGCUGUUUGUUGGGCCUGCGUACCAUUAGCUUGUUGGUGGGGUAAAGGCCUACCAAGGCUACGAUGGUUAGCUGAUCUGAGAGGAUGAUCAGUCACACUGGAACUGAGACACGGUCCAGACUCCUACGGGAGGCAGCAGUGGGGAAUAUUGCGCAAUGGGCGAAAGCCUGACGCAGCAACGCCGCGUGCGGGAAGAAGGCCUUCGGGUUGUAAACCGCUGUCACAGGGGACGAAACACCUUAUGGCUAACAUCCAUAGGGCCUGACGGUACCCUGAGAAGAAGCACCGGCUAACUCCGUGCCAGCAGCCGCGGUAAUACGGAGGGUGCAAACGUUGCUCGGAAUUACU
rnacentral:rRNA from 1 species